CAGUGCAAACCAUCGCAAACUUUCUGUCCUUGGAGUAGAGACAUUUUAAAGCAGCUCGACCCCUCUAACCGCAACAAAUUCCCUGCUGUGUUAACAACACAUUUGGCACUGGACCGAAAAUGCGAGACACUUUUGCGUCCGAGAACAGCAGGGAAUAGCUCCAGUUACCUGCAGCAGGCCGUUCAAGAGGCACACAGUGAGGAGUGGGCUAGGAGAUCCUGUGACUAUUUCACAGAUUGUGAAUUUCAUAGGAGAUCCUGCCUGAAACAGUCCAAGGCUGUUUAUCUCAAGCCACCAUCCUUCUGUCCCGUGCCCCUGGCCCAGUGGUUUGAGACAGUGCAUGCCAACGAUGUGUUCAGUCACCUUGAUGAGCUCAAAGGUUUCAUUACUUCAACGUUUGGCAAAAUUCUGAAGCUUGAUUCCACUAAGAAGGAGUGGGCCCAGUUCUCAAGGGGUUUCGGCCAUGGACAUCCACUGUGCGGUUGGGUGUGUUCCACUUUAUGAGUGGGACAUGCAGGACGUCUGUCAUCUGAAAGAGGCCAAGCGGACAAGGCUGAGGAAGAAACAUCAGGGCCAUCAGCCAACAGAUGCCCAGGUGUGGCGAGCAUCAGCUCUAAAGAGCUAGCCGAGCACUGCCGCAGGAAAACCCGGGGAGUGGAGGAGACCCGUGCCCUCAUCAAAAGUCUUCUAGACUCAAUGUGGCAGUUUGUGGACGGCACCGGGCUGCACCUCAUCAACCACGACCACAUGUCUCGCGUGUGGGAGGUACAGCACUUUGCCUGCAUCCAGGAUCCACCAGGAGUGCAGCUUUAUACCAACAUUUGGUAAGGGCUGGAGAAAGGAGACAAAACGUUGAAUGUCCUAAGAUGCUGCAGAGGUUCCUCCUCUCUGGAAAGCUUCCAUAAGCACCAGUGUGCUUUCAUUCCAGGGUGGAGAUGCAAUGCAUUGCACACUCAAGAUGUACAUGCUUGAGGGUGUGUCAAGGUGGAAUUUGAACCGGUCAGCACAAGCACUUGGUAUGACUGAGACAUCCUGGACAAAGAUAUAUGACAUACGCUUGAUUUACAACGUGAAUGCGCUCAGCCACAAAGUCUUGGGAAAACCUCUUCUUCCAGAGUUUAUCCCCCCUGGGAAACCUACCGGAGAGCGUAUUGCUGUGUAUCUUCUCGCACAGUCCAACAGAGGAGAUCUUCUGAGACAGCAGGUUGGUGAUGAUGAUGAUUGAUGAUGAGGAUAAUGAUGGCAUCCUGCCAGAUAUCUUCGAUGAAACCUCGAGGAUGAAUGUACCGUCCUCAUGACCUCACAUUGCAGGAAAUUGGAAGCGGUGGCCCCAGGCCCAGGUCGGAUCCCCGGUCCCCAUUUGAGGAGAGUUAUGCCUCUGCAAGACCCGUCCACUCCCCAAUUGAGGAGAGAGAUGCCUCUUCAAGUCCCGUCCACUCCCCAACUGAUGAGAGAGAUGCCACUGCAAGUCCUGUCCACUCCCCAAUCGAUGUCCUCGCCUCAUUUGAAGAGAGUGGGCUCGUUACUCCAGCUCCGAUGACUAAGACAGGGAAGUCAGACAGCUACUGGAGGGACCUCUGCAUAAAAUAUGCCCAGGACCAAUACCGCUUCUCGACUGGCAAACGGCCAGGGGCCAAGAAAUGGAAAAAGGCCUUGGAGAGUAUCGAUGCCUGCCCCCUGCAGAGCCAUAGUGCUAGUAAGGAUCUGUUCGGGAGAAGCCUUCAGUGCUCCUGUGGGUUCCAAAAGGCGAGCGCAUAGCAGUGGAGUAUUUAUUGGCCCAGACCAACAGAGGUGACCUGCUGGCUCCAAAUCAGGUCCCUGAGGUCCCCUCGCAGGUACUUGAGGAGGAGGAUGAGCCAGAUGACACCAUCAGCAUGACUGACAUUCUGUGCCAGUCAGCUGCGAUAGGGGCUGGUGAUCCUCCAGGUGCUGUGGUGGGUGAUGCUGAACCCGGACCCCUCGUCACAGAGACCAGCCAAUGUGACUCAAGGAGGAUGCGGUUGAUAACCUGGCAGGCUACCUAGUUGGCUUGAAUCGCACCAUCACUGCCUUGUCAUUGAAGGAGGAGGUGGACAUAG
ensembl:lncRNA